GACGAACGCUGGCGGCGUGCUUAACACAUGCAAGUCGAACGAUGAAGCCUAGCUUGCUAGGUGGAUUAGUGGCGAACGGGUGAGUAAUACGUGAGUGACCUACCUUUGACUCUGGGAUAAGCCUGGGAAACUGGGUCUAAUACCGGAUACGACCAAUCUCCGCAUGGGGUGUUGGUGGAAAGCGUUAUGGAGUGGUUUUAGAUGGGCUCACGGCCUAUCAGCUUGUUGGUGAGGUAAUGGCUUACCAAGGCGACGACGGGUAGCCGGCCUGAGAGGGUGACCGGCCACACUGGGACUGAGACACGGCCCAGACUCCUACGGGAGGCAGCAGUGGGGAAUAUUGCACAAUGGGCGCAAGCCUGAUGCAGCGACGCCGCGUGAGGGAUGACGGCCUUCGGGUUGUAAACCUCUGUUAGCAUCGAAGAAGCGAAAGUGACGGUAGGUGCAGAGAAAGCGCCGGCUAACUACGU
rnacentral:rRNA from 1 species